GUCUACUGCCAUACCACCCUGAACAUGCUUGAUCUUGUCUGAUCUCAGAAGCUAAGCCAGAUCAGGCCUAGUUAGUACUUGGAUGAGAGACUACAUGGGAAUACCAGGUGCUGUAGAUA
rnacentral:rRNA from 1 species